UGAUGCAGCGACGCCGCGUGAGUGAAGAAGUAUCUCGGUAUGUAAAGCUCUAUCAGCAGGGNAGAAAAUGACGGUACCUGACUAAGAAGCCCCGGCUAACUACGUGCCAGCAGCCGCGGUAAUACGUAGGGGGCAAGCGUUAUCCGGAAUUACUGGGUGUAAAGGGUGCGUAGGUGGUAUGGCAAGUCAGAAGUGAAAACCCAGGGCUUAACUCUGGGACUGCUUUUGAAACUGUCAGACUGGAGUGCAGGAGAGGUAAGCGGAAUUCCUAGUGUAGCGGUGAAAUGCGUAGAUAUUAGGAGGAACAUCAGUGGCGAAGGCGGCUUACUGGACUGAAACUGACA
rnacentral:rRNA from 1 species